rnacentral:lncRNA from 1 species
AUUUGAUAUUUUUUUACAUCAGAGUUUAUCCCACAGUCCCCCAUCUCUCCCUCCUCCUUCCCUCCCUGUCUCCUUCUCUCUUUCUCACUGUCUGUCUCUCUGGUUUUCUUUUGCUGCUUCUUCCCUUCUGGUUUCUGGUAGCAGGCCUCCAUUGAACUGUUGUAAAAUACAAGAAGUGUGGUCAGUAAGGAGAGUUGGGGUGGUGCCUUCCAGCCUGCCCGCCAGUCCAUCCUAGACACUCCCAGAGGCUGCUAGCUCCGCCCCUCUGGCAUGGCUUUCCUUUCCCAUCGCCUUCGGAGGCCAUUUUGUCUUGAAGUCAAUGCAUGCUCGUGCUGUUCGACAGUAACCUACUCUGCCUUCUCCACCUCCGAGGCUGUGCAUUCAUCCAAUUAGUGUCAUGAAUGUUUCCCCUUUAUUUUUCCAAUAAAAAAAAGCAGUGGGAUGAAAAUUGCUUUGAUAUAUAGCAGGUAUAUUGAAGCUAUUCCAUAGCACUUAACUGUAGUGAAUACUGUGUCACCAGUUCUGAAAUCAAUUUAAUGUUUAAUGCAAAUCCAUUACAUGGUGCUAUUACAGGCUGACAAAAUGAUUCACACGAAUGUGACAACUCGGGCUCAGUUCACUCUGCUUCCCAACAGUGUAAAUGCAUAGCAGUGUUUACCUGCAUGAGAACUAUGCACUAAUCUAUCUGAAGAAAAAAAAAAACUAUAUCAACUUUGGUAUCUACUUUCCGUUUACUUCAAUCCUUGCCUUUUUGGUCAUUGUUAUAAUGCCAGCUUUAGGACAGAAAGAAUUAUAAGAAAACCAGCAUAAUACCUGAUAUAUUAAAAUGUAGUGCCUGUGAAACCUGUAUUAUACUGCUCUUCUGAAGUAAGACUUUUCUACACCGGUAGCCUUCGCUGUCUGUCAGUCAGGACCUCUGGUAUAGGUGAUGUAAAAUAACCGUACAAUAUUAUGCAUGCUAUCCCAUAAUGCUUAGUGACUGUAUGAUAUUACUCAGAGUUCUGUUAGACUUUUUUUCUGCCUCGGUUCUUAUCGGCUAGGUUUGAGGUAUUUCACUGAGAACGUGAACUCGGUCUUCCUUCCAGCUGUCGUCAGGAUCUUGGAGGUGUACACUUACUUAAAUUCAGUAUUACUUGUGUGUGUUUUCAUUUUUUUGUUGUUGUUUUUUGUUUUUGUUUUGUUUUGUUUUUUGUUUUGUUUUGUUUUCUUUUGUUUCUCCUAAGGGACAAGCAUGGGUGUUUGAUUUCAGAAAUCAGUAUCUGGUGAGAUUUUUGUCUCAAAACUACCAUUUGAAUUUCAAGAACUCUGCUGCAAAACCACUCUGAGAAUGUUUCCAAGUGAGAGUCACUUUCUUGACCCUCAAGAGAAGCUAGACGACACAGAAGAACCUUAAUGGACAGUGUACCCAUGCUUGAUCUGUCUCACACCAGACUUCCUUGUAGUAAAAAGAAAAACAAAACAAAACAAAAGAACUUUAAGAAAUCACUUAGCUGUUUAGUUACAUGCACAGAUGCAAUAUUUUCUUCAAAAAUAUAACUCUGUACAAACUUUGGGCCCGAUUCAUAAGAAAGAAGUUUGCUAUUAACACGGGAUUUUAAAAAAUAUGCUCUCUCUCUCUCUGCUCUCUCUCUCUCUCUAAAUUUGGAUAUAUUUUCUUCCCAAAUUGAAUAUUUCCUUUGUUUAACUCCCCCCCCCCCCAAUAGCACCCAUUUGCCUCUCAUUCUCCCAAGGGUUGCAUUAAGGAAGUUGGAGGGAUGCUAUAUGGGGACUGGAUCCCAGUAAGGCUCACAAGGCUAAGGGGAACUUAAGUAUGGGAUACAGCACAUGGAUGCACCCCUCUGUGUGUCAGGCAUCCUCCAUGUGGACUCACUGUGCUGUUGGGACUGAAACACUAACUUUGUAAAAUGUGUCUGGACCACAAGAGGAUACAGGAGAAGUGCUACCUCUGAUCUAACUAGAGCAAGCUCAUGGCAGAAAAUAUCACAAACUUUAAAAUGUGAAGAUUCCUGUCUCUCCCGUGGUUUUAAAGGCAAGUGGUGUCCAAGAAACAGAGCAUCCUUCCUGCCGUUCAACGCUCAGCUUUUCCGAAAACCUAAAGCUUGUGUUCUCUUUGCUUUGACUGCAAAUUGUACUGCUCUUGUUUUUUUAAUUUUUUUCUUGGUCAUGGUCUGUAAAUUUGCUUUUUUUCUUUCUUUCUUUUUUAACCUGUUAUUGUCCACUAAAGGUCUUAGAUGUCUGGCCAUGUGAGAAUGCAGUAAGGGGGCUGCCAGCUCUCUUCUCCCUCAGACCAUUGUCUCCCCGCUGAACUCGGCUGCCUUGCCACCGAGGUGCCAGCCAGGCUAGAGGAGUGCCAGCAGGUCCCAGUAGGUCCUUAGGAAGGCUGUCAAGGCCCAGUCCAUGGUUCCUUCUCUGCUUCUCCUACAUACCUUUCCCAUCACACAUGAAAAAAGAAAAAAACAAAUCUGCUCAGAGUGCCUCUGGUUUCUUUUCAAAUUGUGGGGGGAAGGAUUAAAAACUUCAAAUGAUGGAAAAAGAGAUCUCUUGUGAAACGAAACGCCCCGUGUUAAUAACUUGGUCUGAAAUUGUUUUUAUGAGCCGGGCCCCCUGUGCCUCUAGCAUAUGUGUAUUGACUCUCAUAGUUACCCUUUUCGUUUACUGUGUUCUGUGAAAACUUGUAAUUGGUUGAGAAUCACUGUGGGCGUCCAUUCUUAUCAACUAAAUCUCCACAGGGUUUUUGUGCUGGUGUGGAUUAGUUUAACUCUUGUAUUCAACCGUUAGUGCUACCACCUUCUCACAUUACAAUACAAUUACUGGAAGCAAGUACUGCAUUUCCUAUGCAACAAAAAAAGG